UACGGAGGGGGCUAGCGUUGUUCGGAAUUACUGGGCGUAAAGCGCGCGUAGGCGGCUUUGUAAGUCAGAGGUGAAAGCCUGGAGCUCAACUCCAGAACUGCCUUUGAGACUGCAUCGCUAGAAUCAUGGAGAGGUUAGUGGAAUUCCGAGUGUAGAGGUGAAAUUCGUAGAUAUUCGGAAGAACACCGGUGGCGAAGGCGGCAUCCUGGACCGGCAUUGACGCUGAGGCGCGAAAGCCAGGGGAGCAAACGGG
rnacentral:rRNA from 1 species